rnacentral:rRNA from 1 species
CCUACGGGAGGCAGCAGUGAGGAAUAUUGGUCAAUGGGCGCGAGUCUGAACCAGCCAUGCCGCGUGCGGGAAGAAGGCACAACGUAUCGUAAACCGCUUUUGUCAGGGGACAAACGCGGGUACUAGUCCCCGUCUGAGGGUACCGGAAGAAAAAGCAUCGGCUAACUCCGUGCCAGCAGCCGCGGUAAUCCGGAGGAUGCGGGCGUUAUCCGGAUUUAUUGGGUUUAAGGGGUGCGCAGGCGUCGGGUUAAGUUCGCGGGAAAAUCCCGGGGCCCAACCCCGGGGAGUCGUUGAAACGGGCGGGCUAGAGAGGGGGAGAGGUAGGCGGAAUGCGUGGUGUAGCGGUGAAAUGCUUAGAGAUCGCGCAGAACACCGAUUGCGAAGGCAGCGUACCGAGCCACUACUGACGCUGAGGCACGAAAGCGUGGGGAGCGAACAGGAUUAGAUACCCGUGUAGUC